CACACCCAACACAACCAAUCAACCAAUCAAAACUAAAACUCUCUCUCUUAAUACUAUACGCAAAUCCUCAUCAUCUUCUUCGUCUUUACACGCCAACAUCAAAAAGAAAAAUGGAAACACAAAAAAGUGAAAUACAUAUUUAUAUAUUAUUGAAAGAAAUUCAUAAAGAAUUGACUGGUAAGUGGAAUUAGCGCCGCCACAUAACGUCACCAACACAACUCUACAGCUGGUUAUCCAACGCAUACCGGCGCAAACUAGAAUCCAUGGCGC
rnacentral:misc_RNA from 1 species